GACGAACGCUGGCGGCGUGCCUAAUACAUGCAAGUAGAACGCUGAAGAGAGGAGCUUGCUCUUCUUGGAUGAGUUGCGAACGGGUGAGUAACGCGUAGGUAACCCGCCUUGUAGCGGGGGAUAACUAUUGGAAACGAUAGCUAAUACCGCAUAACAAUGGAUGACACAUGUCAUUUAUUUGAAAGGGGCAAUUGCUCCACUACAAGAUGGACCUGCGUUGUAUUAGCUAGUAGGUGAGGUAAUGGCUCACCUAGGCGUCGAUACAUAGCCGACCUGAGAGGGUGAUCGGCCACACUGGGACUGAGACACGGCCCAGACUCCUACGGGAGGCAGCAGUAGGGAAUCUUCGGCAAUAGGGGCAACCCUGACCGAGCAACGCCGCGUGAGUGAAGAAGGUUUUCGGAUCGUAAAGCUCUGUUGUAAGUCAAGAACGGGUGUGAGAGUGGAAAGUUCACACUGUGACGGUAGCUUACCAGAAAGGGACGGCUAACUACGUG
rnacentral:rRNA from 1 species